rnacentral:lncRNA from 1 species
AUGAGAAAAAUGAUAACAUGGAGUUUCCUGUUCCUGUGCUGGACAGACACCACCCAUCAGAAAAUGCAUUUUCAGUUCCCUGGCAUGGACUGCAGCAACAGGACCAUCUGUGCUGCUCCUUUGACUUUGACAAGGCAGAUUUGCAUUAAGAGCAUUCCUGAUCCUUUGGCAGCCAUCCUCUCCUGCUGGUCACUGUGGCCAACCAACACCACUAUCUGCUGCAGCCUGUGACUGCAGAACUGGGCAGCCUGUGCUCAAGGAGAUAACUGUGAGUAGAAAUCAUUAACUCCCCUUUUCCUGCCUCUAAAUGAUACUCUGAGUAGCUGCUCUUCAUCCUUUCUCUCUACAACCAGGCCAGAGCUGCUCUUCCUUCUAACUCAGCUCAUGGCUGGGGGGGCAUUCCCCUCAAGGCAAGAGAUAACUUUUAUAUUCCUGCACUAAAUGUCUGAUUUUUCCAGAAGGGAAUGAUGGGCAGAAAAUACACUUGUCACUAUGUUUUAUCAGUACCCUGGUGAGUUACAGAGUAUUUACAGGGUGACUGAUAUUUUGCCUGUCUUUUCCCUCACAAUAGGCAAAAUUUUCAGAGAUUUGGCAAUUAAACAAAAGCAUGAUCCAAAAUAGGUCUGCAAUCACCAUGAGUAUCACUGAGUGGUGUUGUCUUCACCACAAAAUCCACUGUGAACUGGAAACACCAGAAUUCCUACCUGGAGACCAUUUGACUUAUCAGUCACUGGUUACAUGAAACCAGGCUUGUUCUUUUCAGCCUUCCAAAGCCUUUGGAUCCAUAUGAAAAAUCUUCCCUUAGGAUAAUUUUAACUUUGCUCAUACUUCCUUGUUUCAGUAAAAGAUGGAGCACAUCUGAAGGGCCUAAUUUAGGUGUAGCACAAAUUAAAAAAAAAACUCGUGUUUUCUGAAGUGGCAAACUGGGUUCUGGCAUCCUCCUUCCUUAGCAGGGAGAACAGAGCAUUAAAAUAUAUAAUCCUGCUCUGUUCCAAGUAAAGCUUUUACUCCAAGUGAUUGGGAUGAAAAUAUUUGUUCAGGGCAUUUAUCUUGAUUAGGGGGAAGUUACCAUUCUGAUUCCUUUCUUGGAAUUUAUGGGGAACUGACUCCCAUUAAAAUUUAUGGGCACUGGCUAGUACACAAGAUUUUUUUUCUGUAUUUAUUUUAAUCAGAGAGCAUCUUUAAAAAGAAAAUGAGGGCUCAUCUCUGGCAGCUGCACUGCCUUGGAAGC